rnacentral:tRNA from 1 species
ACUUUUAAAGGAAAAUAGCCAUCCAGUGGUUUUAGGAGCCAAAACUCUUGGUGCAAAUCCAAGUAAAAGUAAUG